AAGGAAGCUGCUACAUUGGAGAUGCCUGUGUGACCAGGAACUGUCCCAGUUCCUGCAGGACCCUCAGUCCUACAAUCUGCAAGAAAUCGAAUUCUGCCAGCAAGCAAGUGAGUGAGUUUAAGUCAUGUCCUGUUCCAGCCAAGCCUAUUAGGAUGAUACUGCAGCCCCAGACCUUAAUGGUAGACUCUGAGAGACCCUAAAACAGAGGAGCCAGGUAAACCUCGAUGGCUGACCUACAGAAAUCAUGAGAUACCCGUGCUGUUGUUUCAAGCAUCUCUGCUUUGAGUUCAUGCUGCCUAUUGGAUGGAAUCUCAGAGGGCGCUAUCAGCUGGAACACUGAACAUUGGCCUUCCCACGUGGCUGGAGCUUCCUUACAACAUGGCGACGAGUUCCAACAGUGAGCGUGCUGAGGCAGAGCCUGGUGAAAGCUUCACUGCCUUUUGUAACCUAGCCUUAGAGCUCAUGCAGAGUCCCUUCCACCACCCUGCCUCUAUUCACUGAGGCAGUCACAAAGACUGUCCAUAUUCAAGGGGUAGGGGACUGGAUUCCACCGUUUGUAGGGAGCAGUGCCAAAGAAUUUGCGGACAUGUUUCAAAACAUACAGCCCCUGCUCUGUGGACACUGAUUAUCCUUGUUCUGGUCCCAUGUAUAUUCUGUGGGCUACUCCUUUUUACUGGGGGAUGGGAGGUUGGGAUUUUUCAGUCCUGAGUCAAACCUCCCUUCCUGGGGCCAGUGUGAAUAUAUGGGGAGAAGGCUGAGACUGUGAACUC
rnacentral:lncRNA from 1 species